GUAGGAGGCAAGCGUUGUCCGGAAUUAUUGGGCGUAAAGCGCGCGCAGGCGGUUCUUUAAGUCUGAUGUGAAAGCCCACGGCUCAACCGUGGAGGGUCAUUGGAAACUGGAGAACUUGAGUACAGAAGAGGAAAGCGGAAUUCCACGUGUAGCGGUGAAAUGCGUAGAGAUGUGGAGGAACACCAGUGGCGAAGGCGGCUUUCUGGUCUGUAACUGACGCUGAGGCGCGAAAGCGUGGGGAGCAAACAGGAUUAGAUGCCCUGGUAGUCCACGCCGUAAACGAUGAGUGCUAAGUGUUAGGGGGUUUCCGCCCCUUAGUGCUGCAGCUAACGCAUUAAGCACUCCGCCUGGGAGUACGGCCGCAAGGCUG
rnacentral:rRNA from 1 species